rnacentral:rRNA from 1 species
AGCAGUCGCCGCGGUAAUACAGAGGGUGCGAGCGUUAAUCGGAUUUACUGGGCGUAAAGCGUGCGUAGGCGGCUAAUUGAGUCGGAUGUGAAAUCCCCGAGCUUAACUUGGGAAUUGCAUUCGAUACUUGUUAGCUAGAGUGUGGGAGAGGAUGGUAGAAUUCCAGGUGUAGCGGUGAAAUGCGUAGAGAUCUGGAGGAAUACCGAUGGCGAAGGCAGCCAUCUGGCCUAACACUGACGCUGAGGUACGAAAGCAUGGGGAGCAAACAGGAUUAGAUACCCCCGUAGUCCCUGUCUCUUAUAC